AGAGUUUGAUCCUGGCUCAGGAUGAACGCUAGCGGCAGGCCUAAUACAUGCAAGUCGAACGGUGUAGCAAUACACAGUGGCGCACGGGUGCGUAACGCGUAUGCAACCUACCUGGUAGUGGGGAAUAGCCCGGGGAAACCCGGAUUAAUACCGCAUAAGAUAGUUAGAUGGCAUCAUUUGAUUAUGAAACAUUUAUGGCUACUAGAUGGGCAUGCGUAAGAUUAGCUAGUUGGUGGUGUAAUGGACCACCAAGGCGAUGAUCUUUAGGGGUUCUGAGAGGAAGAUCCCCCACACUGGUACUGAGAUACGGACCAGACUCCUACGGGAGGCAGCAGUAGGGAAUAUUGGGCAAUGCCCGCAAGGGUGACCCAGCCAUGCCGCGUGCAGGAAGAAGGCCUUCUGGGUUGUAAACCUCUUUCAGUAGGGAAGAAGCGAAAGUGACGGUACCUGCAGAAGAAGCGCCGGCUAACUACGUGCCAGCAGCCGCGGUAAUACGUAGGGCGCAAGCGUUAUCCGGAAUUAUUGGGCGUAAAGAGCUCGUAGGCGGUUUGUCGCGUCUGCCGUGAAAGUCCGGGGCUCAACUCCGGAUCUGCGGUGGGUACGGGCAGACUAGAGUGAUGUAGGGGAGACUGGAAUUCCUGGUGUAGCGGUGAAAUGCGCAGAUAUCAGGAGGAACACCGAUGGCGAAGGCAGGUCUCUGGGCAUUAACUGACGCUGAGGAGCGAAAGCAUGGGGAGCGAACAGGAUUAGAUACCCCCGUAGUCC
rnacentral:rRNA from 1 species